rnacentral:rRNA from 1 species
GUCCAGACUCCUACGGGAGGCAGCAGUGGGGAAUAUUGCACAAUGGGCGCAAGCCUGAUGCAGCCAUGCCGCGUGUAUGAAGAAGGCCUUCGGGUUGUAAAGUACUUUCAGCGAGGAGGAAGGCAUCAAGGUUAAUAACCUUGGUGAUUGACGUUACUCGCAGAAGAAGCACCGGCUAACUCCGUGCCAGCAGCCGCGGUAAUACGGAGGGUGCAAGCGUUAAUCGGAAUUACUGGGCGUAAAGCGCACGCAGGCGGUCUGUCAAGUCGGAUGUGAAAUCCCCGGGCUCAACCUGGGAACUGCAUUCGAAACUGGCAGGCUAGAGUCUUGUAGAGGGGGGUAGAAUUCCAGGUGUAGCGGUGAAAUGCGUAGAGAUCUGGAGGAAUACCGGUGGCGAAGGCGGCCCCCUGGACAAAGACUGACGCUCAGGUGCGAAAGCGUGGGGAGCAAACAGGAUUAGAUACCC